GGCGAGAUGGCCGAGUUGGUUAUGGCGCCAGGUUAAGGAGCAUCCUUAGCAAUAUAUAUCCUGGUAGGGAAACCUGCGUGGGUUCAAGUCCCACUCUCGUCA